UGCGUAGGCGGUCCGGGAAGUUGGGUGUGAAAUACCUCGGCUCAACCGAGGAACUGCGCCCAAAACUGCCGGGCUGGAGGGAGACAUAGGUGUGCGGAACUUAGGGUGGAGCGGUGAAAUGCGUUGAGAUCCUAGGGAACACCAGUAGCGAAAGCGGCACACUGGGUCUUUUCUGACGCUGAUGCACGAAAGCUAGGGGAGCGAAGAGGAUUAGAUACCCUCGUAGUCCUAGCCGUAAACGAUGAGCACUGGUUUGGAGGCUCCUCCAUAGGCUUCCAGACGUAGCGAAAGUGUUAAGUGCUCCGCCUGGGGAGUAUGGUCGCAAGGCUGAA
rnacentral:rRNA from 1 species